rnacentral:rRNA from 1 species
UACGUAGGAAACAAACGUUGUCCGGAAUCAUUGGACAUAAAGAGCGUGUAAGCAGCCCGAUAAGUCCGCUGUGAAAGUCCAGGGCUCAACCCUGGGAUGCCGGUGGAUACUGUCGGGCUCGAGUCCGGAAGAGGAGUGUGGAAUUCAUGGUGUAGCAGUGAAAUGCGUAGAGAUCAUGAGGAAGACCAGUGGCGAAGGCGGGUCUCUGGACAGUUCCUGACACUGAGACACGAAGGCCAGGGGAGCAAACGGG